rnacentral:rRNA from 1 species
UACAGAGGUCUCAAGCGUUGUUCGGAUUCAUUGGGCGUAAAGGGUGCGCAGGCUGCGGGGUAAGUCGGAUGUGAAAUUUAGGGGCUCAACCCCUAAACUGCAUUCGAUACUGCUCUGCUAGAGGACUGUAGAGGAGAUUGGAAUUCACGGUGUAGCAGUGAAAUGCGUAGAUAUCGUGAGGAAGACCAGUGGCGAAGGCGAAUCUCUGGGCAGUUCCUGACGCUCAUGCACGAAGGCCAGGGGAGCAAACGGG